rnacentral:rRNA from 1 species
UCCAGCCCCAUGGGUCACGUCUCGAAACACGGGCCAAGGAGUAUAGCAUGUGUGCGAGUCUAAGGGUCUCACAAAACCCGCAGGCGAUAGUGAAAGCAAGAUUGUGGCAGGUGAGCUUCGGCGACCCUGUCAGGUCUGGUGCGUAUGUGGGAGGGGAGCAAUCCUCUCUUUUCAUGUGCCGCCGGCUUUUGGUGAAACAAAGCCGAUCCUGCUAUCACGGCAAUGUCUUGAGGCAGGCGCAGGCUUCGGGCUCGCCUACGUUUGUGGUCGGUUCCGGCCGGCUCUACUGCGAGCACCGUGGAGCAUGCAUGCUAUGACCCGAAAGAUA